GGCAGCAUGGUCUUAGCUUGCUAAGACUGAUGGCGACCGGCGCACGGGUGCGUAACGCGUAUGCAACUUGCCUCACAGAGGGGGAUAACCCGUCGAAAGACGGACUAAUACCGCGUACACUCUAUGUUGGGCAUCCAAUGUAGAGGAAAUGAAAUUCGCUGUGAGAUAGGCAUGCGUCCCAUUAGCUAGUUGGUGAGGUAACGGCUCACCAAGGCGACGAUGGGUAGGGGAACUGAGAGGUUGAACCCCCACACUGGUACUGAGACACGGACCAGACUCCUACGGGAGGCAGCAGUGAGGAAUAUUGGUCAAUGGGCGAGAGCCUGAACCAGCCAAGUCGCGUGAAGGAUGACUGUCUUAUGGAUUGUAAACUUCUUUUAUACGGGAAUAACAAGAGUCACGUGUGACUCCCUGCAUGUACCGUAUGAAUAAGCAUCGGCUAACUCCGUGCCAGCAGCCGCGGUAAUACGGAGGAUGCGAGCGUUAUCCGGAUUUAUUGGGUUUAAAGGGUGCGUAGGCGGCCUGUUAAGUCAGCGGUGAAAUCUAGGAGCUUAACUCCUAAAUUGCCAUUGAUACUGGCGGGCUUGAGUGUAGAUGAGGUAGGCGGAAUGCGUGGUGUAGCGGUGGAAUGCAUAGAUAUCACGCAGAACUCCGAUUGCGAAGGCAGCUUACUAAGGUACAACUGACGCUGAAGCACGAAAGCGUGGGUAUCAAACAGGAUUAGAUACCCUGGUAGUCCACGCAGUAAACGAUGAUAACUGGGCGUAUGCGAUAUACAGUAUGCUCCUAAGCGAAAGC
rnacentral:rRNA from 1 species